rnacentral:rRNA from 1 species
AUGGUCCCUCGCAAGCUUCUUGAGUAUGUGCAGGCCCAGAAGGUUGUACUGCAGAUAGUCGUACAUCCGGUCUGGCACGGCGGCCGCGGCGACGGCCCCCAGCGGGUGGUCCACGGACGUCGGUGGGCCGCGGCCGGUGUAGAGCAAGGACAUGACGGACUCGAUGGCGCCGGGGAUUCCAGACACGCGGAGCGCGUUCUGGCGCUUGCCGGCGAGCUUGGACACGACCUCGGCCGCGCACUUGCGCACCUCCUCCUCCUCGUGGCGCUUCCAGUUGAGCAUCUCGACGGCGCGCUCAAUGGAGCGCGGGUUGGUGCCGAGCUUGCGCAGCGUGUCGCGCGCGGAGCCCUUGCUGGUGGUCAGCUGCUGCAGGAUGCGGACGCCGAUGAGCUGCUCGUCGAGGAAGUCGGAGAGGAUGAGGUCCUCGGCGAAGGUGACGAGGUCCAUCUUGAUGCCGUCGAAGAUGCUGCCGUCGAUGCACUGCGAGUAGGCGUCGUAGAAGAAGCGCUUGAGGGAGACGAGGCCGUAGGGGCCGAGCUCGCACUCGGCGCUCACCUGGUCGAGCAGCCUGCAGACGGACAUCUUCCACGUCCAGUAGGCCUUCUCCAGCAGGAAGAGCGACGCCUCCAGCAGCGCCAGGGCGUAGAAGAGCAGCAGCGCCGGCCGCAUGUUCUUGGCCUCGUCGAAAUCCUGGUUAUUCCAGAGCCGCGUCACCGAGAGCGCGACGCAGGCGAGCGCCGAGAGCACCUGCAGCCAGUUGAGCAGCCUGCCGAUCUUCUUGGACACGAAGACCCAGCCGGUGUAGGGGAGCAGCGGCACGUCGGGGGCGUGCCAGGUGCGCUGCUUCAUCAGGGCCACGAUCUGGCGCUGGAAGAGCGCCGCCCUGGCGCGCGCGUCGCCGCCGCCGCUGCCGCCGUCCCCGAGCGCCGCGGCCGUCUGCGGCUCGGCGAUGGCGUGCGCGAGGCGGCGGAAGAAGCGCGAGCUGGAGCGCAGCGCGUUGCCGGCCGUGGAGGUGAGGGUGGCGUGGUGCUGCCACUCCAGCUCGUGGCUGCGGCUGAAGACGCGCGCCGCCUCGCUGACGAGGAUGACGGUGAUGCACCAGAAGUCGGUGAUUUUGAGGUCGCUGGCGAAGCCGCCGAGCAGCACGACGGUGGCCCACGCGAAGUCGAGCUUGCCGAGCCCGCUGGCCGCCUUCUCGAGGACGGCGAGCCGGAGCGCGAAGAGCGUGAGGCGCUUCUCGGGAGGCUCCCGGCCGCCGCCCCGGCCCGAGCUGCCGUGGCCGCUGCCGCUGCCCGGCGUCAUCUCCCGCCACGGCUCGGAGAAGGAUAUGGAGCCGCCGCCCCCGCUGCCCAGGCCGCCGCCGACCCGGUGCUGGACGAUCUCGAUGCUCGGCGGGUUCUUCUUCAUGGCGCCGUCGUCUUACCUUGGUUGGACUUCGUGGAGGAGCUUCACGGAUGGGAAGCCAGGGCAGGAGAUGGCGUUGGAUUUGAAGCGAAUGCUUGCAAAGACGAGCUGGAGAACGUUUCUACUUCCACAGGUCGACGUACUACGUGGAACAGUUUGGCUGGGUCAACGGUCAACACAUGA